UGGCCCAGUAGUUUCAGAGGAGAAGAUUUUUGUAAAAGAUUACUAAGAUUUACGAAAAAUGGUUAAAAAUUGACUAUAAAGGGCAAUAAACUCCUAAAGGGGUCAACUGACCAUUUCCGUCAUGUUGACUUAUUUGUAAAUCUUACUUUGCUGAACAUUAUUCCUGUCUACAGUUUAUCUCUAUCUAUAAUAAUAUUCAAGAUAAUAACC
rnacentral:lncRNA from 1 species